rnacentral:rRNA from 1 species
GACGAACGCUGGCGGCGUGCUUAACACAUGCAAGUCGAGCGGUAGGGCCCUUUCGGGGGUACACGAGCGGCGAACGGGUGAGUAACACGUGGGUGACCUGCCCUCAGCUCUGGGAUAAGCCUGGGAAACUGGGUCUAAUACCGGAUAUGACUCCAUGACGCAUGUUGUGGGGUGGAAAGCCUUGUGCGGCUGAGGAUGGGCCCGCGGCCUAUCAGCUUGUUGGUGGGGUGAUGGCCUACCAAGGCGACGACGGGUAGCCGGCCUGAGAGGGCGACCGGCCACACUGGGACUGAGACACGGCCCAGACUCCUACGGGAGGCAGCAGUGGGGAAUCUUGCGCAAUGGGCGAAAGCCUGACGCAGCGACGCCGCGUGAGGGAUGACGGCCU